CUAUCAUAGUCAUAACAUUACAAUACAUCACAGUAUUAAACUCACAACCCAAAUCAUUUACACAAGCUUCUAUUGUUUCCUUGAAUUUUGUCGUACCAAACCUGUUUCGCAAAACAGGGCGAUUCGAGCUGCCUUCCAUCGCAACUUCAGGCCUAUAUGCCCGAAUCCUCAGGGAAUUACGAGUAAAAACUUCGGCUAGGCGCACCCACCGAGCACUAUACUCACACGAGUCGAAGUCAUUGGGCGAGACAGCCAACCCUCUCUAAUCCUCGCGCACGAGAAUAAGGUGACACUCGAAUCUCAGUCUCCGCAGAGAACUCAACACACUAUCCUAUCACAAUACGAACAUCAUCGGUUCGACAAAAAUUCUAAGGUGGAACCACAACCACAAAAGAAAAGGGUGAGU
rnacentral:lncRNA from 1 species